rnacentral:rRNA from 1 species
UACAGAGGUCUCAAGCGUUUGUUCGGAUUCAUUGGGCGUAAAGGGUGCGUAGGCGGUCUGUCGCGUCGGCUGUGAAAUCCCGGAGCUCAACUCCGGCUCGUGCAGUCGAUACGGGCAAACUGGAGUACUGCAGGGGAGACUGGAAUUCCUGGUGUAGCGGUGAAAUGCGCAGAUAUCAGGAGGAACACCGGUGGCGAAGGCGGGUCUCUGGGCAGUAACUGACGCUGAGGAGCGAAAGCGUGGGGAGCGAACAGG